rnacentral:tRNA from 1 species
AGAGGUAUGGCUCAAGUGGUAGAGCAUCUGCCUAGCAAGUGUGAGGCUCUGAGUUCAAACCCAGUACCACGA